rnacentral:rRNA from 1 species
GACAGAGGGUGCUAGCGUUGUUCGGAAUUACUGGGCGUAAAGGGCGCGUAGGCGGCUGUACAAGUCAAAGGUGAAAUCCCUCGGCUCAACUGAGGAACUGCCUUUGAAACUGUACGGCUUGAGGCCGGGAGGGGGUAGCGGAAUUCCCAGUGUAGCGGUGAAAUGCGUAGAUACUGGGAGGAACACCAGUGGCGAAGGCGGCUACCUGGACCGGUUCUGACGCUGAGGCGCGAAAGCGUGGGUAGCAAACAGG